GGAGAUGUGGUCUAGCGGUUGGGCACAGGCACCUCGAAUGUCCUGGACGUAGGUUCGAUUCCUACUGUCUCCA
rnacentral:tRNA from 1 species